rnacentral:tmRNA from 1 species
GGGGCUGACUGGAAUCGACAGGAAAUGUGAUCGGCCGGUAAGCAUGCCGUAGAAUGAUAGUCCACUACGUAAAAAAUGAUUAUCAAACCAUAGAUGGCAAUACUUCUUUUGCUCUUGCUGCCUAAUUCAAGGAAUUAGUUAGCUUGUGCACAUGGCUCCGAUGUCUGAUGAGGGCCUACCGUGCAUCAAACCAUCAGGCUGGUUGAUAAGUGUUCCCUUCUUAUUGACGAGAAAAUACGGGAAUAAGGAUGAAAAAGGUCGUUUCUUUACCUCCCUUCAUUCUGACAAAUAAAUAAGAAACUAAGCAUGUAGAAAGUCGUCAGGUUCUUUCUCUGGACCGGGGUUCGACUCCCCGCAGCUCCACUC